rnacentral:rRNA from 1 species
AGCGAACGCUGGCGGCAGGCCUAACACAUGCAAGUCGAACGAACUCUUCGGAGUGAGUGGCGGACGGGUGAGGAACACGUGGGAACGUGCCUUUUGGUUCGGAAUAACUCAGGGAAACUUGUGCUAAUACCGAAUGUGCCCUUCGGGGGAAAGAUUUAUCGCCAUUAGAGCGGCCCGCGUCUGAUUAGCUAGUUGGUGAGGUAACGGCUCACCAAGGCGACGAUCAGUAGCUGGUCUGAGAGGAUGACCAGCCACACUGGGACUGAGACACGGCCCAGACUCCUACGGGAGGCAGCAGUGGGGAAUAUUGCGCAAUGGGCGAAAGCCUGACGCAGCCAUGCCGCGUGAAUGAUGAAGGUCUUAGGAUUGUAAAAUUCUUUCAGCGGGGACGAUAAUGACGGUACCCGGAGAAGAAGCCCCGGCUAACUUCGUG